rnacentral:rRNA from 1 species
UGGAGCCACGGGGGGCAGCAGUAGGGAAUCUUCCACAAUGGGCGAAAGCCUGAUGGAGCAACGCCGCGUGGGUGAAGAAGGUCUUCGGAUCGUAAAACCCUGUUGUUAGAGAAGAAAGUGCGUGAGAGUAACUGUUCACGUUUCGACGGUAUCUAACCAGAAAGCCACGGCUAACUACGUGCCAGCAGCCGCGGUAAUACGUAGGUGGCAAGCGUUAUCCGGAUUUAUUGGCGUAAAGGGAACGCAGGCGGUCUUUUAAAGCU